UUUUAUAAUUCUCUACAGUCUGUCAACAAACAGGUUGCUGCAAAGACCAUAAACAGGAUACGAGCCAGAUCUUUUCUGCAGCAGUAUAAUCAAGAAAAAGAAUCAAACAGGGAGGCAGUAACAUCUAGAAACCGUGACAGUGAAUUUAAUGUUCAAAUACUUGCAGAACUGAGAGAAAUCAAGAGUGUUCUUUUGGAAACUCUGACACUUUUAAAAAAUGGAUGUACUCCAUUAAUGACUGCGCCAAUCCCAAACACAUUGGGAACUCCUCCUGGACCCACUUCAGAUUUGAUCCCCUGCAGUUCAGAGUCUUCUGCAGUCAUACCAGCCCCGAGUUCCUCUCUUCAGACUCUUUAUGUAAAGGAGUCUAGAAGUAAUGGUAACUGCAAAAAGGUAAGAAUUGGCUCCAACACAUCAAUCUCUGCUGAACAGUUUGCCCACGUAAAAUGGACUGAUCAAAAAAAAGCCACAAAAGACCUCUUGAUGGCAGUGUUUGGAAGAGGCAUUCUCGCAACACACUGCUACAGUGGAAGAUGUUCCAAUGCAUUCAAAAACAAAGCAGCCAAGCCUCAACUUGAUUCUGAAAAAGUUUCUGACAUCAUUAGCUACAUCAAAAAAUAAAUUCAAUGUUGAAGCAAAUGUAAUUAAGAAGGCCAUCUCCCAGAAAUGCACAGACGAGUGCAAGUUGGCAAAACGGCACCACAGUGAUUGUGUGUAACUGUAUGUACAUCAGACUGGUUUGUUCAGGAAUGUUGUAUUUCCCAGUUACUGCUUUAUAUUUAUUGUGUGGUUUGUUUGUUUGUGAAAGCCUGUAAUGAAUAUAAUCUGAACAGAGUACAAAAAAAGGUAAUAAAUGCAAUAUAAUUCAAGUUAUGAAAGAAGACUAAAUUAAAUAAAAUACAAAUGAAAAUAAAACAAUAGAACAUGCAUUUUUUUGAUUUGUCUUUUAUUUCAUUAAUCUAAUCAGUGCCUUGGAAAUUUGUGCACUAAUGCUGUGUGCACAAAUCACAUCUAAAAUUUAUAAUGUGACUGCAGGUUGUGCAACAUGUAUUGAACAAUAAAAAAUGUCUACAUCAA